GAAACCCCUCUCAGCACGCGCCACAUACAUACACAGUAAAACACUAUCUUUGUACAGCAACGGUUAGGGUUUUGUUUUCUGAUUUUCACACAGAAAAAACAAAGACAAAGCCUUGAAGCUGUAACCGCCGAUUGAUUCGACCGACGAGAAAUUGGCUCUUAUCUUCUCUUGAUUCUUGAAAAAAUGGCGAAGGAAAUUAAGGAAUUUCAGUUGUAUAACAGUAUGACGAAACAAAAGGAGUUGUUCAGGCCUAGAGUUGAGGGCAAGGUCGGAAUGUACGUCUGCGGGGUCACGUCCUACGACCUCAGCCACAUCGGUCACGCCCGCGCCUAUGUGGCUUUUGACGUACUUUACAGGUAUACGCGCGUCUGUCUGCACUUAAGUUUAUUGUGAAUCAAAAUAUGUGGGUCUGUUUAUUUAGAAUCAAUAUUUUAAAAUUCCUGUUUUUGUUAAGUUGCAA
rnacentral:lncRNA from 1 species